rnacentral:lncRNA from 1 species
AACAGGUGAAGUUCUGCUUAAUUUUACCCUUUUUGCCGUUUUUACCCUUUAAAUCCCUUGUCUUGCUGUGGCGUGAGGUCGUGCUGGCCGCGCUGGCAGCGGAUGCCCGCUCCAUCCUGGUUUUAAUGCUAAAUUACGCUGUGAGUUACACGCGGCUGCGGGUGCUGCGGCGCCGCCUCAGCCGUCCCUCACAGCCAUUUUCUUUUCUACAGGUUUCAAAGACUCUUCAAGCUUGGUUUGUGCGGCCCGCUGCAGCUGCCAGAAUCGGAAAAGUUGGAGUAAAACAUGGUUUUUGAAGAAACUGCUGGGGCGAAGUAACAGAAAAAUCCGUGGAAGAGGGGUGAGUAUAUUAAAGAGUGCCCAAAUUAGGUUGCCCGAGUCCUGUUAGUGCACUAUGUGUAACUAAAACGUAGCCACAGAAAUCAAAACGCGGUGGAACCAAGGAUGUGUAAAUCCAGUGGUUUUACAAAAAACACGUGCUUGGAGCACGGAAAAAGACGUGUGGCCCUGGCCCCUUGGUGGGACACGCAGUUCCUGGAUUUUGUGGAUCAGGGCCUGGAGGUGCACGAGGUAUGGGUAAGCUGCACGGGAAGGAGGGACAGUCCACGGCGGGAGGGGUUGGCUGGUCAGCAAAGAGCUGCUUUUGGGAUGCUUAAAACUGGGGAAGGGGAGCUGGGGGGAUCAUACGGGUUAAGGAGAUACUGCGUGUGCAUCCUGCGGGCUACACUUGCAACCUUCCCGUUGAUUCCGACGUUGUGGGGCCACGAUGUUAACAGGGAAAGGUAAUGGUGAAAGUGGGUGGGGUGUAUAUAGAACGUGAGUGCAAGCAGUUUGUGUGUUCAGGCGCUGAAAUACACAUC